CCUACGGGAGGCAGCAGUAGGGAAUAUUGCUCAAUGGGGGAAACCCUGAAGCAGCAACGCCGCGUGGAGGAUGAAGGUUUUCGGAUUGUAAACUUCUUUUGUUAGAGAAGAUAAUGACGGUAUCUAACGAAUAAUCACCGGCUAACGCCGUGACAGCCGCCGCGGUCAUACGGAGGGUGCAAGCGUUCCUCGGAAUCACUGGGCGUAAAGAGCGCGUAGGCGGGAUAGCAAGUCAGAUGUGAAAUCCUAUGGCUUAACCAUAGAACUGCAUUUGAUACUGUUAUUCUAGAGUAUGGGAGAGGUAUGUAGAAUUCUGGGUGGAGGGGUAAAAUCCGUAGAGAUCAAGAGGAAUACUCAUUGCGAAGGCGACCUGCUAGAACAUAACUGACGCUGAUGCGCGAAAGCGUGGGGAGCAAACAGGAUUAGAUACCCUGGUAGUC
rnacentral:rRNA from 1 species